ACUCCUACGGGAGGCAGCAGUCGAGAAUCAUUCGCAAUGGGCGAAAGCCUGACGGUGUGACGCCGCGUGGAGGAUGAAGGCCCUCGGGUCGUAAACUCCUGUCAUCAGGGAGUAAGGUCUACGGUAGUAACUGAUCGUAGAAUUGAUAGUACCUGAAGAGGAAGAGACGGCUAACUCUGUGCCAGCAGCCGCGGUAAUACAGAGGUCUCAAGCGUUGUUCGG
rnacentral:rRNA from 1 species